rnacentral:rRNA from 1 species
CCUACGGGUGGCAGCAGUGAGGAAUAUUGGUCAAUGGACGAGAGUCUGAACCAGCCAAGUAGCGUGAAGGAUGACUGCCCUAUGGGUUGUAAACUUCUUUUAUAUGGGAAUAAAACGUUCCACGUGUGGGAUUUUGUAUGUACCAUAUGAAUAAGGAUCGGCUAACUCCGUGCCAGCAGCCGCGGUAAGACGGAGGAUCCGAGCGUUAUCCGGAUUUAUUGGGUUUAAAGGGAGCGUAGGUGGAUUGUUAAGUCAGUUGUGAAAGUUUGCGGCUCAACCGUAAAAUUGCAGUUGAAACUGGCAGUCUUGAGUACAGUAGAGGUGGGCGGAAUUCGUGGUGUAGCGGUGAAAUGCUUAGAUAUCACGAAGAACUCCGAUUGCGAAGGCAGUUCACUGGACUGCAACUGACACUGAGGCUCGAAAGUGUGGGUAUCAAACAGGAUUAGAUACCCUUGUAGUC